ACUCUAGAGGAAAAGCUGGGCCGGAAAAGUGGGAACCUCUAGGGCGCCGCCCUGUUGCUACUGGUCAAUGUGGCCAGCGCAAUUACUAUUGAAAGAGCUGAAAACAAGUACAGGUCACCGUAUGCUUUGUCAUCUAAAAACGCAUACCUGAGGUUUUAUGAAGGUGGUGGGUUAAUAUUAAGUUUACAGAAAGCGAUCACUAAGUCCGUGACUUAUGUAAAUCACGAACUACGCAUUCAUUUAAUAAAGGAUGACGCGAAUUUCGGUUUCGAAUCUGGUUUUUGGAUGCGUAGUAGUUUCGUACAGUUUAGGUUUGACAUGCGAUCGCGCGUCGACAUCGGACGCUAUGGCACACUCGUGCCUUCUGUGCCACCGAAGCCCCGAAGUGCCCAGACAUAUGCCUUCACAUGUUUCCCUUCAGUAGGAAAUUGCUGGACAGGCGGACCAGCGCACCGGAAUUGUACUGGCGAAGCCACAAGCAACUCAAAGAAUCUGUUUAAUUGUUGCACUUUGAACAAUCAUGCUUCUACAAAGGCCACAGCAGAAAAACAGCCUGAUGCCGAGUAUUUCUGUGCCACGAAGUAAUCAAGAGGCGAGUGCCUAAUGCGGACGAAAUCGAGUGCAUCGAGACUUAGAACGACAGAAAGCUGAGCUAGUUGAUAUGCAAUGGCAAGCCCUUCCGUGUGUUCCAAAGGUAAAAUUUAAGCUCGAAAUUAAAGAAGACAUUUCUAGUCAGAAACAAGCAAAAAUGGUGAAUGCAGAGUAUCAGAAGCCCAAGGUACAGAAAUUAUGAGAAGUGUCGAAUGAUCUUAAGGAAAGAAUGGUAUUUGAAGAUGCAAGAUUCUUUAGUGAAAAUCAAGCAAGUCAGUAUAGGUAGAAUACUCUGAGAAAUUAUGCGAGUAAUGGGAUAGCACACAAUGGGUCAGGAAAUGCGUUGUUUUUCUGAAAAACUAAAGCUGAUGACUGUCAUAUCAUGAGUCACUUUAGCAUCAUGAGACUGCUGUUUGAUAAAUUCAGAAACAAACCAAAAAGCAAGUCAUGCAAAAAUAAAAAAAAAAACUAUUUAAUGAUGCUCUCUCCACACUGGGAUAAAUAAUAAGAAACGGAUCACGUCUAAUGUGGACAUAUCAGACACCUUGUGAAACACUAAAGGAAAAAUUCAGUUUCGAGCUAUGGCACUUGCCGCAUAGAUUUGGGGGGCCUUGCACCAAUAGUAAUAGUUACCACUGCAUCUAGAAAUUUAAAGCAUUCAUGCAGACAAGGAUGAUUAUAUUUUUGGCUACCACGUCAAAUGCCUCCACUAAGUGUUACAAUGCUGCACGCAGCCAUACUAAGGAUCUCACAGCAACACUUGCAGGUAAACAGCAAAAGCAGUUAAAGUGCUGGUGUAUUCUGGACACUGUCUUUGAAAACGUUUAGGCAAGAACAGUGCGAGAAACAGACAUAAGAACUGCAUUUAUUUCUAUAAUUCCCCAUUUGAAUGGCCUUUUCUUUUUCCUUCGACAAUGCCUUCGCCUAGCCACAGCAGCUCCCUCAUACAGACUCCGCAAGCCAAGAGGCCGUGGAGGCAAAUGCAGACAGCCAGCACACCUCGAACAGCCACCUUGACUGCGGGUGUGUCACCCUAGUCGCCAAGGAAACAUUUGAGGGAAAGCGACAGGCAAUGUGAACAGCCACUUCUCCAUGUAAACGAUACUCUUUCUCUCGGAUGACUCCUACGUUUUGCCACGCCAGCACACUUGUGCACAAAGAUGCCGCGGAGGCACGUGCAGGUCAGAGGCAAGAAGCAGUGGCACUGGUGUCAACAUUCGUCCAAUUUCUUUUUCUUACACUGAGGCAGCCAGCACACCUCGAACAGCCACCUUAACUGCGGGUGUGUUAGUAGAUUCCUGUUGUACAUAUGCUCAUAAUAAACUUCAGUAAACUUGAACUUGAUAAUAAACUUGGAGGCAAAUGGGA